AAGUAUUCUAGGACAUAAUUAGGAGGCUGCAAACACUGGGAAGGAAAGAAGUCUGAAGCUCUUCUCCACAAAAAGGAAAAGCUCCCAAACCAACGCAAACAGAAGGAACUGGGGAAGAGAGAGAAUGUCUUAGAUGCAGAAGAGAAAGCCGAAAUGCAAAAUCUGCUAUACCAGGGGAAGGAUAGCGACAAGACUACGUAAAUUUAAGACAAUAACCACCAUCAGCACAUUCCUACAGGGCAGCUGGAAUGGGACAUGCUGGGACACCAGGAUCUACCUGCACGGACCAGCAACUGGGGGACAGCUAAGGGAAGGGGGAGAGCUCUCCCAACAAAUGCCACCAACA